rnacentral:lncRNA from 1 species
CGGCCGCUGAACCCGAGGAUGUGCAUUCGAUUGUUCGAGAUCUGAACAGUCUGGCCCUCACCUUCCCGGCCUUUUGUGCUGGGACAAGGCCAGUCAGUGCUGUGAGCUCCUGCCAGGGGUGACUUGGUUUAAUCAAACCACUGUGUGCCUGGGGGAGCUCCCCGCCUGCCCCGAUUAUACGUGCAUCCCCCCUGCGCUGCUUCGCACCCCCCCAGUCACAUUCAUCCGAUUUCGUUACAUUUCAGAGCACAACACAGGAGGGUCGGAUGCAAACCGCGCAGCUUCUGUCUCGGAGAACAUCGAGUCCACGCACGGCAGCUGCUCCGGCCCCGCUUGGCCUUGGGCUGAAGGCACCGUGUGGUUUUGGGUCUGGUGUGGUGGGAGCAGGAGGGCCCGGUCACCUCCCCUUCCUGCUUCCAGCUCUGUCCGUUCCCAGUUGGUGCCACUGCCCAGCCUCCCCCGGUCACUGCCCUCUGACCUGUGGGGUGGCCUCCCAGGCACAUUCUCCAGAGGUGGGGCCUUCUCAGCACUUCGAAGGGCCAGCUUGGUCACUUUACGUAUCUCCAGAAAGACUCCAGGCGCCGGUAACAGCCACCCCCCAGACGAGACGUGCCUGCAGACGAAGCCAAACCUCCCCAGAAACAGAAAAUGCCCUGGGCUGAGACCCAUCAGGGAGGCGGUGGGGGAGAAGCAGAGCUUCAGGGCUGUGGCCACUUUAAUGGAAUCUGUCUGUCAUGAUAAGGAAGUGGAGAGUCUCUCAGCGCUCUACAGGCAAGCUUGGGGCUCGAGCCAUGGGUUUUCUGAUGCUGUGACAACGGGACCAGGAGCUGCUGCUGACAGCAUCCCAAUACCAUCACCUGAGCCAGGCUAGUCCUGAAGACAGAGCUCCUAAACUUUGCUGAAUGCAAUAACUUCCUCUUUCGAACAUAAGCCAGUUUGGGUUGGAUUUUAUCACUCGCAACAGGAAAAGUCUUAACAGACAGAUCUCCCUUAUACAAAGUGGCAGUCACCCAGGCAACAGGAUCAGGUGGGGAGGACACCAGACGCAUUGGUCAAAGUUGGUCCUGUGCCCACAUCUGCCAUUAACCCGUUAACUGACCCUGAGCAAGCCGUUUCCUCCUGGGGACCUCAGCUCGCUCCCCAGGAAACGGGGAGGUGGAUGGUCCUUCCAGCCAGGACCCAAGUGCCCUGUAGCAUAAGGAAUACGGGACAGCUGAAGGCUCCAGAUGUCAUGGCCCGCGCUGUUCCACUGCACGGCUCCUCUCAGCCUCCCUCUUGGUGGUGAAGUCAUUCCGGAACCGGCUGCUUCGAACGAUGUAUGUCUCACAAUAAACUAGUUCACUUCAGGUUGUUUUCCUUGGGG